rnacentral:rRNA from 1 species
AUUGAACGCUGGCGGAAUGCUUUACACAUGCAAGUCGAACGGCAGCACGGACUUCGGUCUGGUGGCGAGUGGCGAACGGGUGAGUAAUGUAUCGGAACGUGCCCAGUCGUGGGGGAUAACGUAGUGAAAAUUACGCUAAUACCGCAUACGAUCUAUGGAUGAAAGCGGGGGAUCGCAAGACCUCGCGCGAUUGGAGCGGCCGAUAUCAGAUUAGGUGGGUGGUGGGGUAAAGGCCCACCAAGCCAACGAUCUGUAGCUGGUCUGAGAGGACGCGCAGGCAGACUGGAACUGAGACACGGUCCAGACUCCUACGGGAGGCAGCAGUGGGGAAUUUUGGACAAUGGGCGAAAGCCUGAUCCAGCCAUUCCGCGUGCAGGAUGAAGGCCCUCGGGUUGUAAACUGCUUUUGUACAGAACGAAAAGGUUUCUACUAAUACUAGGAGCUCAUGACGGUACUGUAAGAAUAAGCACCGGCUAACUACGUGCCAGCCGCCGCGGUAA